UUGUUGCAAUUGAUGACAUCCAUUGCUUGUUCUUGCCACAUGAUCAACUCAAAUGUUUAAGUUGGUACGUGGCUUGUGCAUCCUCACUGUCGAUUUAAGUUCCCCCUUUAAAUCACAAAUAAAACUGGAGAUGAAAUAUUUUUCGGAAAGCCCGAGAUUCUCUUUUAAUAGUAAAGACCGCAUUUCUUCAAAUCUUUCUUAAUAAUAGGAUGG
rnacentral:lncRNA from 1 species